AUUGAACGCUGGCGGCAGGCCUAACACAUGCAAGUCGAGCGAGCGGCGGACGGGUGCGUACUGUCUGGGAAACCGCCUGAUGGAUGGGGAUAACUACUGGAAACGGUAUCUAAUACCGCAUACCAUCAGAUGUGCCCAGGGGCGAUUAGCUAGUAGGUGGGGUAACGGCUCACCUAGGCGACGAUCCCUAGCUGGUCUGAGAGGUUGACCAGCCACACUGGGACUGAGACACGGUCCAGACUCCUACGGGAGGCAGCAGUAGGGAAUAUUGCGCAAUGGGCGAAAGCCUGAUGCAGCAAUGCCGCGUGAGUGAAGAAGGCCUUCGGGUUGUAAAACACUGUCGGUGGGGAGGCGGUACCUAAAGAGGAAGCACCGGCUAACUCCGUGCCAGCAGCCGCGGUAAUAC
rnacentral:rRNA from 1 species